rnacentral:rRNA from 1 species
GAUGAACGCUGGCGGCGUGCUUAACACAUGCCAGUCGAACGAGAAGUGGAGACGGAAACCUUCGGGCGGAAGACUUUACUUCGAGUGGCGGACGGGUGAGUAACGCGUGGGUAACCUGCCUCAUACAGGGGGAUAACAGUUGGAAACGACUGUUAAUACCGCAUAAGACCACAGCACCGCAUGGUGCGGGGGUAAAAACUCCGGUGGUAUGAGAUGGACCCGCGUUCGAUUAGCCAGUUGGCGGGGUAACGGCCCACCAAAGCGACGAUCGAUAGCCGAUCUGAGAGGAUGACCGGCCACAUUGGGACUGAGACACGGCCCAAACUCCUACGGGAGGCAGCAGUGGGGAAUAUUGCACAAUGGGGGAAACCCUGAUGCAGCGACGCCGCGUGAGUGAAGAAGUAUUUCGGUAUGUAAAGCUCUAUCAGCAGGGAAGAAAAUGACAGUACCUGAGUAAGAAGCCCCGGCUAACUACGUG